rnacentral:rRNA from 1 species
GACGAACGCUGGCGGCGUGCUUAACACAUGCAAGUCGAACGGAAAGGCCCUGCUUUUGUGGGGUGCUCGAGUGGCGAACGGGUGAGUAACACGUGAGUAACCUGCCCUUGACUUUGGGAUAACUUCAGGAAACUGGGGCUAAUACCGGAUAGGAGCUCCUGCUGCAUGGUGGGGGUUGGAAAGUUUCGGCGGUUGGGGAUGGACUCGCGGCUUAUCAGCUUGUUGGUGGGGUAGUGGCUUACCAAGGCUUUGACGGGUAGCCGGCCUGGGAGGUGACCGGCCACAUUGGGACUGAGAUACGGCCCAGACUCCUACGGGAGGCAGCAGUGGGGAAUAUUGCACAAUGGGCGGAAGCCUGAUGCAGCAACGCCGCGUGCGGGAUGACGGCCUUCGGGUUGUAAACCGCUUUCGCCUGUGACGAAGCGUGAGUGACGGUAAUGGGUAAAGAAGCACCGGCUAACUACGUG